rnacentral:rRNA from 1 species
CGCGGCCUAUCAGCUUGUUGGUGAGGUAACGGCUCACCAAGGCAUCGACGGGUAGCUGGUCUGAGAGGACGAUCAGCCACACUGGGACUGAGACACGGCCCAGACUCCUACGGGAGGCAGCAGUAGGGAAUCUUGCGCAAUGGGCGAAAGCCUGACGCAGCAACGCCGCGUGGGGGAUGAAUGCCUUCGGGUUGUAAACCCCUUUCAGCAGGGACGAAAAUGACGGUACCUGCAGAAGAAGCUCCGGCCAACUACGUGCCAGCAGCCGCGGUAAUACGUAGGGAGCGAGCGUUGUCCGGAAUUAUUGGGCGUAAAGAGCUCGUAGGCGGUUCAGUAAGUCGGGUGUGAAAACUCAAGGCUCAACCUUGAGACGCCACUCGAUACUGCUGUGACUUGAGUCCGGUAGAGGAGUGUGGAAUUCCUGGUGUAGCGGUGAAAUGCGCAGAUAUCAGGAGGAACACCAGCGGCGAAGGCAGAUCUCUGGGCCGUAACUGACGCUGAGGAGCGAAAGCGUGGGGAGCGAACAGGAUUAGAUACCCUGGUAGUCCACGCCGUAAACGGUGGGAACUAGAUGUGGGGUCCGUUCCACGGAUUCCGUGUCGCAGCUAACGCAUUAAGUUCCCCGCCUGGGGAGUACGG